GGAAAUUAUUGGGCGUAAAGGGCUCGCAGGCGGGUUUCUUAAGUCUGAUGUGAAAGCCCCCGGCUCAACCGGGGAGGGUCAUUGGAAACUGGGGAACUUGAGUGCAGAAGAGGAGAGUGGAAUUCCACGUGUAGCGGUGAAAUGCGUAGAGAUGUGGAGGAACACCAGUGGCGAAGGCGACUCUCUGGUCUGUAACUGACGCUGAGGAGCGAAAGCGUGGGGAGCGAACAGGAUUAGAUACCCUGGUAGUCCACGCCGUAAACGAUGAGUGCUAAGUGUUAGGGGGUUUCCGCCCCUUAGUGCUGCAGCUAACGCAUUAAGCACUCCGCCUGGGGAGUACGGUCGCAAGACUGAAACUCAAAGGAAUUGACGGGGGCCCGCACAAGCGGUGGAGCAUGUGGUUUAAUUCGAAGCAACGCGAAGAACCUUACCAGGUCUUGACAUCCUCUGACAAUCCUAGAGAUAGGACGUCCCCUUCGGGGGCAGAGUGACAGGUGGUGCAUGGUUGUCGUCAGCUCGUGUCGUGAGAUGUUGGGUUAAGUCCCGCAACGAGCGCAACCCUUGAUCUUAGUUGCCAGCAUUCAGUUGGGCACUCUAAGGUGACUGCCGGUGACAAACCGGAGGAAGGUGGGGAUGACGUCAAAUCAUCAUGCCCCUUAUGACCUGGGCUACACACGUGCUACAAUGGACAGAACAAAGGGCAGCAAAACCGCGAGGUUAAGCCAAUCCCACAAAUCUGUUCUCAGUUCGGAUCGCAGUCUGCAACUCGACUGCGUGAAGCUGGAAUCGCUAGU
rnacentral:rRNA from 1 species